rnacentral:rRNA from 1 species
UCAAUAUAAAUUGAUAGAAUUUGUUUAUUAAAUUUAUUUUGGUUUGUUUAAUGUAUUAAAAAUAAUUAUAUGGGUUAUAGUUUAAGUAGUGUUUAACGAACAAAUAAUUUUUAUUAUAGUUUAUUAGUAUUGUGAAAGAAUACUGAAAUAACUUGAAAAAUACUUAUUUUAAAAGAAAAUUUAGUUUGUUGUACCUUGUGUAUCAGGGUUUAUUAAUUAAAUAAUAAUUAUUUAUUUUUCUCGAUUUUAUAAGAGUUAAUUAUUUAUUGAAGUUAAUGUGUCAAAAUUAUUUCGAAUAGGUGAUUAGAAAUGAAAUGUUAUUCGUUUAUAAAGGUAUCUAGUUUUUUUAGAAAUAAAUUUAAUUUAGUAACUUUUAAUUUUUUAAUUUUUUGUUUAAUUAAAAAUUUUAUUAGUUAUAAUGUUUUUAGGGAUGAGCUUAAAAACAAAUAUUUAUAAGGUUUGAAUUUUUGACUAAAUGUAUGUAUAGAAUUUGCAAUCAUUAAUAAGUUUGUUAUAAAUUAUUGUUAAUAAUUUAUUAUUUAUUUUUCUUUAAAUUUUUAUAAAAAUAUUUAUUUUAAUUUUUUAAAUAAAUUAAUAAUGAUAAAAUUAGUAUAUUUGAUUGUUUAGGUAAAUUAAGUUGAUAAGUUUAUGUAAAGAAUUCGGCAAAAUUGUGUAUUCGCCUGUUUAACAAAAACAUGUCUUUUUGAGGUUAAAUUUAAAGUCUGGCCUGCCCAAUGAAUUUUUUGAAUGGCCGCAGUAUACUAACUGUGCAAAGGUAGCAUAAUCAUUAGUCUUUUAAUUGAAGGCUGGUAUGAAUGGUUGGACGAAAUAUAGACUGUUUCAUUUAAAUUUAUUAUAGAAUUUUAUAUUUUAGUUAAAAAGCUAAAAUUUUGUUAAAAGACGAGAAGACCCUAUAAAUCUUUAUACCUGUUUUUAUUUAAAUUUUAUAGAUUUGUUUUGUUUUUAUAUAAAAGGGUAUUUUAUUGGGGUGAUAUUAAAAUUUGAUAAACUUUUAAUUUAAAGUUCAUUGAUGUAUGAUUAAUUGAUCCAUUAAUAGUGAUUAAAAGUUUAAGUUACUUUAGGGAUAACAGCGUAAUUUUUUUGGAGAGUUCAUAUCGAUAAAAAAGAUUGCGACCUCGAUGUUGGAUUAAGAUAUAAUUUUAGGUGUAGCCGCUUAAACUUUAAGUCUGUUCGACUUU